rnacentral:rRNA from 1 species
CCCUUAGAUGUUCUGGGCCGCACGCGCGCUACACUGACGAAUGCAACGAGCUUAUAACCUUGGCCGAAAGGUCUGGGUAAUCUCCAAAUUUCGUCGUGAUGGGGAUAGAUUAUUGCAAUUAUUAAUCUUCAACGAGGAAUGCCUAGUAAGCGCAAGUCAUCAGCUUGCGUUGAUUACGUCCCUGCCCUUUGUACACACCGCCCGUCGCUCCUACCGAUUGAAUGAUUUAGUGAGGACUUCGGACUGAGUCCAAUGCGGCUUUCGGGCUGCGUUGGUAUUUCGGAAAGAUGUCCAAACUGUAUCAUUUAGAGGAAGUAAAAGUCGUAACA